rnacentral:rRNA from 1 species
CGGCGACGGGUGAGUAACACGUGGAUAACCUACCUAUAAGACUGGGAUAACUUCGGGAAACCGGAGCUAAUACCGGAUAAUAUAUUGAACCGCAUGGUUCAAUAGUGAAAGACGGUUUUGCUGUCACUUAUAGAUGGAUCCGCGCCGCAUUAGCUAGUUGGUAAGGUAACGGCUUACCAAGGCAACGAUGCGUAGCCGACCUGAGAGGGUGAUCGGCCACACUGGAACUGAGACACGGUCCAG